UCCAGGAGCUCACAGUCUAG
rnacentral:miRNA from 1 species